rnacentral:tRNA from 1 species
GGGGUGCAGCUCAGUGGUAGAGUGCUUGCCCCACACGUGUGAGGCACUGGGUUCGAGCCUCAGCACCACA